GGGAUCGGGAUCGGGAUCGGGAUCGGGAUCGGGAUCGGGAUCGGGAUCGGGAUCGGGAUCGGGAUCGGGAUCGGGAUCGGGAUCGGGAUCGGGAUCGGGAUCGGGAUCGGGAUCGGGAUCGGCACUCCCACCACGGUCCGUGGUUCGGCCGCGGCGGAGCGGGCCCGCGGGUUCCGCACGGGAGGGUCCGGCUGCGGCCGCAGCGCUGUGCUUUACUCACAGUGCCGCCCCGGUUCAGCCCGAGGUGUGUUACGCACUCUGAGUCAGUUACUCCAGGACGAAAGGUUUGUUUAAUGUUUCUAGCUCUGCUGGUUUUGCAACCGAGAGGGGCUAGAGUUCGUUGUUUUUAAACUUAGAUUUGGAUAUUACAUAACUCGGGGCUGGAGCGCUGAGCACGUGUCUGGGCCUUAAUUCCUUUUGCCCAAGGAUAUGUCAGCCUUGUUGGCAAAGUUGUGGGUGAGGAGUCCAGAAGACGACUGCUCCCUGUAACCAGACAUCGUUUUAUGGUAUAUACCUCCUAAUGUCUUGUUUGUCCAUGCCAAAGGGGCAGAUUUUGCCUUCUAGAUAUACAGGUAAAGCUUACACAUUUUUAAAUAAAACUGAAAGUUAAGCCCUUCGCUUGUGGGCAAAAAGUAACAAUUAUUACCUUACUGUUAUAACUUACUGCAGUAAUGAGUGCAUAUGUUAAUGCUCCACCCUCUGUCAAACAUGGCUUGUGGCUCAAGUUUAAUCUGCUGUUAAAACUCAGGAGUGCCCACAGCCAUUUGUGAAUUGAAACAGUGGAGAAGCUUUUUAGGUGAUCUGGUCUGGAUCAUGAACUGUCCUUCAGCUGAGCUGCUUUUAGAACAGUUUUUAUCCUAAAUACAGUAGAUCAGAAUUCAUCUUUAGGGAUGCCUGUCUCAGCAUAGGCUACUGACAGAGUAGGGUAUGGUAUACACAAACUCUCAACCACAACUUUAUGCUGAACUUUGUAAAAAAAAAAUGAUCCUUGAAGUCAAGGCAGUAGAUAGUAGAGCAGGGCCAGUACACUUGGAAGUUGUAAUGUCCCCAGGACAGGUUGUAGAUGUUGGGUGAUAGAGAUGUUCAUCUUUAUGAGAAUAUAUUUUUAUAUCGUUUCCUUGUAUUGAACUUUUAAUAGAAUGUUAGAAGCAAAAAACUUUUUAUAAGAUACUAUAAUUUACACCAUGUCAGAGGAGCUUACCCCACAUCCAGAAAGGGGGCUUCUUGUGAUUUUUCAAGUAGCUUUGGCUUAGAUUUUAAACCCCUCAGGUCUGUACCAAGAAGAUGUGGUUUGUGAUUACAACCAUCUGUCAGCUCAGUGCAUUCCCUCAGCCUGUGCUGAUAGCCUGCCUAGUGGGGAAAUACCACACCUUUGUUUAAGUCACAGGGAGCCAAGGCCACGCUGAGGAUGCAGUGGUGAAUGCCACUGCCCUGGUUCCCUGCCCACCUUCUUUUCGCACCUUUUGUGCCAUGCCUUUUGUGGCAGGUGACUGCAGAAAUGCAUCUGUGCUGAAGUUAAAAGUUUACAGACCAGAACCUGAGAGUAAAAUGAAAUUUACAGCACUUUGCAUGGGUCUGUCAGGCUCAGCUGAUGGACAUAACCUGAGUGCUCUGGAUUAUAUAUUUAUAACUUCAUUUUCUUGCAAGAUUCACUGCCCAUAACAUCUGCUUUGUAUUUCAUCAAGUCUUGCUGAGAACGUGAAUGACUGUCAUCUCAUUAGGACUUCUACAUACAUUUGCCAUUCCUUUCUCUUCUCUUUUUAUUCUCCAGUUCUCUUUUUUGCUUUGCUGAACCUGUCUCAUCCUUCCCUACCACUGGCACUUUGUCAAGUGUUUUCUUGUUUCUGACUAAACAGUGCUUUCUUUAAAGCCUUGCUCAUUUCCAACUGCCCAUUUCUCCUGGUUAGGUCCCUCUCCAUCUCCACCCUGGCAAUUCCAAUUCCAGCAGGCCCCAGCUGGCAGGGCUCUCUGUGAUUCCCAGUUGUCCUAUGUUAAUUAAACUGUUUGAUUAAACCUUUGGUGUCCCAUAUCCAAGAGCAGGAAAACCAUGUGGUUGUAGGAUGCCUAAGCAGCCUGCUUUGAGAACUGAGACUGGCCCAACUAACAGUCAUUCUUUAUGCAUCUAGGCAUCAAGGACUGAGAAUUUUGAGAAUAUGGGCUGUUGUGAUUAUUUUUUGUCUCACCAGGCCCCAUCAUGCCACAGGUAAUUUUAAAGAAUUCCUCUGGGCCGUGACUUGGGUUCUGGUCUUGCUUUUCACUCCCCACUCAAAGACUGUGGUUAAUCAAAGAAAAGUACACACAUACCUUCUUGGGUGGUAAUUCUCCCUAUAUGACACAUUUGCUGCUGAGAAAAAAAAAAACCUAUCACUGCCAUUUUUUAAUCCUGUAAUUGCUAUGUUUACUGAUGGUGUUGACUGAAAUUCCACUGAAUUUUACUUGCAUGUGGGCCUUCUGAUCCUGGGUCUAGUUCUGCUGUUCUAUCAGACUUGCAGUUUAUGCCAAACCCUGCCCUUGCUGUCUGUUCAUAUGGGCUUUGUCCCAUACCUAUCUUCAUUACCUCCUUCUUUUUCUUGGUCAUCCUCUCCAUUUCCUCAUUACUUCCCUGAUGAGUUUUCUAAGUUGUCUUCUAAAAAAUAAAAAAAAAUUAAAAAAAGAGAGAGAAACAACAUAUCAUCCACUGCCUUAAAACUUGAUGUAAUUUCUGUUUCCCACAUCCUAUGCCUGUCUUGUCUAAGUUGAUUGCAUCUCAUGUCACAGACUGCCUACUCUGCACCAAGCACCACAUUAUAGGAAACUUCUGUCUGAGUUAGUCUUUAUGCACAGCAUAAGUAAAUACGUUUUAUUAAUAACAAUAAUAACAACUAUGCAAAUAAUCCCAUAUAUUUUAAUGAUGGGACUGUAUGUAAUGGCUCAAAAUAAGUAUGGCAAAAAGGAUUCCUUAUGCUACGUGGAAUUAAGAUGAAUAGAAGAUGUCUUUAAGUAGGAAUUGACUAUAUAUGCUUUAAAAAGCCUUAUUUAACCAAUUGUCUCUUUUAAGUUCUUAGAUAAAAGAUUGGUUUAUUAAUACAUUCAUUUCUUCAUUGUGGUAGGAUGACAGUGACUACUUAUCUCUGAGCUUGGUGGCCUCAGGGAUAAUCCAAGCAAGCAUUAUAUUAAACAUUGUGUAGAACAAUGAAGCAGCAAACACACACAAGUGGUUUUGCUCUAAAGUUUGGGUGAAAGCCUAAUAUCUAUAUGCAGUAUUUAUACAGAAUAUUGUCAGCCCCAACCUCAACAGGAGCUCAUCCUGAGCCACAAGGUGGGAUAAAGCAGGAAGGUGUUUAUCUGAAAGGGCAGUAGUGGGAUUCAGUUGUAGGGCUGCAGGAAACAGGAGAUGUCUUCACAGAGUGAAACAAAAGGUACAUUGGGGUCUUGAGCUGUGAGCUUGGAGGGAAGGGAGGAGAGUCAAGGCCAGUGCUCACCAAUGCUCCUGAAGAAAAAGGAAAGAAAUACAAGAAAGAAGGGACUGACAAACCAAGCUGAAACAAUGACUGGAGAAGCGAAAAAUGAGAAAAACUAAGCUGAGACGUGAGCUAGAUAUGCUAAAUGUGACUGAAGGGCACGCAAGAUUGGUUUAAGAUGGAUUGAGAAGCUUUCAGAUAAGAGGAAGCAAAACCAAGUUUGAUGGGGAUUUAGGGUAGAACCCAACAAGAGACAAAGAGAUGUGACUGGAAGAACCUGUCAGGUGACAAGAGGCACUUAUACCAAAGGCACUUUUUUUCCUUCUUUUUUUUUAAAUGAUAAAAGAGACAAGCAUAUCUCUGUGGGUGCUAUGAAUCAGAGCAGACUGAACAACUAAAGCUGUGAAGAAAUUAAGGAGUGAGUGUUGGAAAGAUCAGGAAAUGAAAUGGGGUGAAGUUAUCAGGGCAAGUGAUGGAAUUACAGAAGACAUGUUGCUAAGCUUUUUGUUACUGCCACUUAGAGACUUGUAGACAGAGGAAGCAUGAAGAGAAUAUUUUAUGUCUUUUAUCUCUACAGAAAAUUGUGAGAUAACAAGUAGAGGAAAACAGACAGGAAAGCUUGACAAGGGUUAAGCAGCAGCAAUGAAAAGCUCACUGGGAUUACAAGCAUGCAGAUGAGCUGCAGAAGGAGAAUUGUUUAGUUUUGAGAAGGCAGAAAUGGAGGAGAGUAGGCAUGUGGGAGAGGAAGUUGCCUUGAUCACAGGAUUUCCGUCACUCUGCACUGCAAGAGCAAGCAUGGGUGGAGCAAGCAGUGAAGAAAUGCUUCUGGAAACAGCGAGGGGAGGAAUUGUGACACAGCUCGGGGAGCCGGGGUGGGCAGGAGCUGUGCGGGCCCUGCUCCCAGACUGAGCCUCGGGCUGCUCUGCAAGGUGCUGUGCGGUUCAUGUCCUGGGCGCCUGGAAAAAAACACCCACAAUAAAGAAACUGCGAGAGAUUCACCUUCACAGUGAAGCACGGAUAUUAAAUUCAACAUUUCUUAUGUAAUAAUAAUAAUUCUGAAAUGUUCAUGCAGGCAGAGAAAGCCUUUGAACUGCUAAAUUUAAGCAAGGGCUGUCAGACUUGAGCUCAUUGACUUUGAAAAGAAAUGACUUGCUGAAUUAACUCUGAAGUAAACUAAAAAACUGGUGGACUCUUUCUAUCAGCAUUUCUUAAAAAAUGUAACACAUUUAUCCAUUAUCUCUGUGAAGUUGCAGUGUUUACAAUGUCUUCAAAUGAAUUAUUGGAUAGGGUUAAAGAAACAAAUGCAAUGUGCCCAUGUUGGUGAAGGAAAGCCUGUAUCUGAAUUUGUCUAGUACACUUGGAACCUUUAUUUUUUAAGGUUAUAAAUAACAAUGUCAGUCUUCGGUUUUAAAUAUAUUUCAAGUUGGCUACAAGGAAAUACCUGCAUAUUUUUAUUUCUUGUUUCUAUAUUAUUCACAUUACUCAUGAAAAAGAUUAAGGCAAAAUAAGUUUUUCUUACACUAAAACCAGCUUUUGCUGUAAAUUAGUUAUUUCCUAACCAGGGCACAUAGUGUCAGCACCUCUGGCUCCAGAUCCUAGGGGAUUUUUUGUCUUUCAUCCUUUGCCUUUUUCAGUCUGAUACCAUUAAAAUUUACCGCCUGCA